rnacentral:rRNA from 1 species
UACGUAGGCAGCAAGCGUUGUUCGGAGUUACUGGGCGUAAAGGGUGUGUAGGCGGUUGUUUAAGUUUGGUGUGAAAUCUCCCGGCUCAACUGGGAGGGUGCGCCGAAUACUGAAUGACUUCGAGUGCGGGAGAGGAGAGUGGAAUUCCUGGUGUAGCGGUGAAAUGCGUAGAUAUCAAGAGGAACACCGGUGGUGUAGACGGCUCUCUGGACCGUAACUGACGCUGAGACACGAAAGCGUGGGUAGCAAACAGG